UAGAAGGCGCCUUCUGCUAACUGUUCUCUCUCUAUCUCUCUCUCUCUCUUUCUCUCUCUCUCUACGGCGAAGCAACCCCAUCCCUGUCGUCAUCAGUCCCGACGAUGCAGCAGCGGCGAGGCGCCUCCGGCCGGCCGUCAGGCACGGACGGCUCCGACUUCUCCUACCGCAUGGUCGUCGACUCCCGGUACCAGAGGGUCGCCAACGGAAGAUCCCGCCUCGCCCGCCUCAUCCUCGUGCAGGCAUUGCACCAGGUGGCCGGGGGCGCGCUGCUUCUGCUCUCGUUGUCCAAGGGGGCGGAGGCUAACAAGUUCGCCGUGCUGUCCGUGGCUGCGGGACUGCUGGCAAUUGUGGUGGGCGAAUUAGGUGAUGACGUGAUGUUCAACUUCUUGGGUUAAUCUCAGUUGUUCUGAUUCCAGACAAACUCAGUUGUUCUGAUUCCAGACGGACUUACCAGAUCUACCUCGCUUUCGAGUUCAAUCAAAGUGCCCAUGGCACUGAUAAAAAAAUUGGAAGUAGAAACUAGCACGAGAUAGGAAGCGGUACAGGAUAGGUUAGUUAAGACUGCAGAAGACAUCAGUGGUAUUGGUUGUUGUCGAUGCACUGCUUCAUUUAAGAUAGGGAGAUAGGACAAGAUUGUUGAAUCACCUUAUUGAGUAUUUAGGUAAUUCAGCUGCAAUUUGCUAAAGCUAGCAGGCAGGUCUGCUCUCUUCUUAUUGGCAUUCACAACCUAAAACCCUGUCCAGAGCAGGGUUACAAAUAUCGUCGGUAACCGCUCAUUUAUCGCGGUUACCGACCAAACUUAAAUUUAAAAUUCAAAAAAUUGACAAAAUUCGACCGGUUUCUACUGAAUUACUGCAUGGUUACCGCGGUAACCGCGAUUACCGCCGCCGAGCGGUUUUCGAAGGUAAAAUGCAUUUGUAAACCUUGGUCCAGAGUUGUACAUUGGCUUGCAUGCUUUAGGCACAAUCAUAUUAGGAUCAGACAGAAGGCUUUAAAGCACAGAUCACUUUGAGCCUUCCAUACCGCAGCAAAUGGUAUCAAUGUCCACAAAAACUAGCUUCUGAUCUUUUUCCUCUAAGGCUCUAACAGCCUCAACCACACCUUCUUUUAACAUAUGUAAGUGCUUUUAAGGGCGGAGGCGGACUAUGGCAGUGCUGCUUCGGCUGUACACAAGCUUGUCAUCGAUUGCUGUUGCAUUCUCAGUGACGUGCAUUAUUCGGUCAGAAUUGUUCUUAAAGGUU